AUGGAGGAGAGGCAGAUGCUACUCAUGAUACUCAUCACAGUUUCAGGUGUCAGUUUUGGGAAUGUCAUCACACCAGUUGAAACUCAAAUGUCUGGGACAGAAGGAGACAUUAUAAGUCUCUCCUGUAGCUACUCGUCUGCAAAUAGUCUGCUUUGGUAUCGCCAAUAUCCCGGAUCGGUUCCUGAAUUUCUUUAUGUUAUUCUUUAUGCCACUGGGGCAGUUUUGCAAAAAUCUAAAGUUGUGGAUCAAGAUCCUCGAUUCUCUGCAAAACUGAAUGAAAAGAAAACCCAUGUGAACUUGGAGAUCUCCUCUGUCAAAGUGACAGACUCUGCGAUGUACUACUGUGCCAUGGAGCCCACAGUGACAGGAAAACAAACAACACUGUACAAAAACCUCACUUACUGUACUGUGGGAAUGUCUUGA